GACGAACGCUGGCGGCGUGCUUAACACAUGCAAGUCGAACGGAAAGGCCCUGCUUUUGUGGGGUGCUCGAGUGGCGAACGGGUGAGUAACACGUGAGUAACCUGCCCUUGACUUUGGGAUAACUUCAGGAAACUGGGGCUAAUACCGGAUAGGAGCUCCUGCUGCAUGGUGGGGGUUGGAAAGUUUCGGCGGUUGGGGAUGGACUCGCGGCUUAUCAGCUUGUUGGUGGGGUAGUGGCUUACCAAGGCUUUGACGGGUAGCCGGCCUGAGAGGGUGACCGGACACAUUGGGACUGAGAUACGGCACAGAAUCCUACGGGAGGCAGCAGUGGGGAAUAUUGCACAAUGGGCGGAAGCCUGAGGCGGCAACGACGCGUGCGGGAAGACGGACUUCGGGUUGUAAACCGCUUUCGCCUGUGACGAAGCGUGAGUGACGGUAAUGUGUAAAGAAGCACCGGCUAACUACGUG
rnacentral:rRNA from 1 species